rnacentral:rRNA from 1 species
UUAAGUGACGAUAGCCUAGGAGAUACACCUGUACCCAUGCCGAACACAGAAGUUAAGCCCUAGAACGCCGGAAGUAGUUGGGGGGUGCCCCCUGUGAGAUAGG